UAAGGAAAUCACCUUUCUGGUCUUAGUCUCCCCAUCUGAAAAUGGCAUAACCAACCUACCUGCCUCAAAUACAAGACCCUGCUUGUGAAGCGUCUCCUGGCUCAGACCAGUGCUAGAAGUGUCCAGUCUAGCAGCUCCUGGACCAAGACUCCGUGGCCAUUCCCUUCCUCCUGCCUUCCAUCCACCCCCUUACGGUCAGAGCUCCGAAGGCAGCGUGGUGACGGGUGCGGGGAGGGGAGUGGGGGGAUCUCUCUGAGAUACUUCUGCCUUGGGGUCACUGGAUCAUUCAUUCGACAAACAUCCGCGAGCAAGUCAGGAACUAGGAGUCAUCCUUGCCACCUCCCUCUCCCUCGCUGCCUAUAUUAAAAUACACCUCCAUUUCCUGUCGAUUCUCUUUCCUAAAUAUCUUUCCAGUCCACCAUUCCUUCCGUUUGCCCCACCACCUCCCGCCUGGGCUCCUAAUGCAGUAACCUUCUAUCUGGUUUUCUUUUCUUUUUUUUUUUUUUUUUGAGACGGAGUCUCGCUCUGUUGCCCAGGCCGGACUGCGGACUGCAAUGGCGCAAUCUCGGCUCACUGCAAGCUCCGCUUCCUGGGUUCACGCCAUUCUCCUGCCUCAGCCUCCCGAGUAGCUGGGACUACAGGCGCCCGCCACCGCACCCGGCUAAUUUUUUGUAUUUUUAGUAGAGACGGGGUUUCACCUUGUUAGCCAGGAUGGUCUCGAUCUCCUGACCUCGUGAUCCACCCGCCUCGGCCUCCCAAAGUGCUGGGAUUACAGGCGUGAGCCACCGCGCCCGGCCCUAUCUGGUUUUCUUGUACUCAUUCUGGCCCGGCUACACUCCAUUCCCUGCAUUACAAGUCAGCUGUCAUUUCAGAACACAAGUCUGGUGUGCCCCCCUCGACCCCCCCGCCACGCGGCGUUGCCUAAAUUCCUCCACUGUUAGAAUAAAAUCUGGACGCUGAUAUCUGAGCUAAGUCUUGAAGACAUGAGUUCAACAAGCAGAAAAGAGGGAGAAGGGCAUGUGCAGAGGGAGGGAAGUGUGAACAAAUCAUUGACACAUUCAGGUUUCCCUGUCAGGGGACCAGCACUCUGUACACUAAAGCACUGCCUCUUAACAUUAUUGGGAUCUCAAAACAACCCUGUGAGAUAAAUACAGCAUGCAAUUUUCCCACUAGUUUACAAGCAUGGAAACUAGUUUGUGGGAGGCAACAAAUGCAAUGGUUAAGAGCACAGGCAAUACAGUCAGACCCUCUUGGGUUGUAAACCUAUUGAUUCCUCUAGCCAGCUGGGUAAACACUUCUCUGAUCCUUGAUCUCUUACCUACUAAAGAGGAAUAAUUAAUCCCUCCCUCUUAUAAGAUAAUUUAUAUAAAAUGGUUAGUUACAGGACUUGGGCACUUUGGAAAUGCUCAGUAAUCGUUAGCUGUUUUGAUGGUAAUGGGUUCUGAGAAAGGGAGGGAACUGCUGUCUUCCACAAAUUUCUGAAAUUAUAGGAAGUAAGCCCUAAUUGUUAACACUUCCACAGAGCUUAUUAUGUGCCAGUCACUAUUAUAAGUGCUUUACAAAAAUUAACCCUUUUAAUCCUCUUGCUGUUUCCACUUUACAGAUACAGAAGUUGAGAUACAGAGAGGUGAAGGAACUUGUCCCAGGCCCUACAGCUAGUAAGUGAUGGACCUGGAAUUUAAGCCCAGGUAGACUGCCUCUAGAGACUGUGCUUACAACCCUUUUAUCCUGUGCCUGUUCCCCUUUUAUCCUGUUGUAGUUUUCAUCUUCUAAGAACUAUUUCAUUGGGUUGGUUUGAUUCUUAUUUCUCAUUAAUGGAUAGAGUAGAUACUUCAUCUAAUUUUCUAGCACAGAAAAUGAGGGCCAAGUCAGGAGUACAGUGGAUAAGAGCUUAGCUCACUCCCAGUCAUGUCCCCAUUUUCAGAGAUGUAUCCCUUUUUUUUUUUGACAGAGUCUUGCUCUGUUGCCCAGGCUGGAGUGCAGUGGCACCAUCUCAGCUCACUGCAACCUCCACCUCCUGGAUUCAAGCAAUUCUCCCACCUCAGCCUCCUGAGUAGCUGGAAUUACAGGUGCACUCCACUAUGCCUGGCUAAUUUUUCUAUUUUUGGUAGAGGGGGGUUUUUGCCCUGUUGGCCAGGCUGGUCUUGAACUCCUGGCCUCAAGUGAUCUGCCCACCUCAGCCUCCCAAAGUGCUGGGAUUAUAGGCGUGAGCCACUGCGCCUGGCCCAGAUGUAUCCUUCAGAACACGACUCCAUGGAUUAUUUUGAGCCCAAGAUGAAGAAAGAUCAGGAACCUCUGUCCCUUCUCUUUGUCAGAUAUUUGCCAUAAAGAAGGAAUGGAGAGGGGGAAACAUCUAACCUGAAAAUAUUUCAGGGGGCUAAACUGGAAGGGUGUCACCCAAAAGAAAGACCCAAGCAGCAGGCCAGGAGUAGGUGGCCAAAACGUUGAAUAGCACCGUGAAAAGGUAGACGGCUUGAGACUCCGGCUUCCAUCUAGGAUGCAGAAACCUGGGAAGAGCAUCAUUAUCAAACUAAUAACAGUUUUUAAAAAUUGUUGGGUAAUUUACAAAAUCACAACUUUUGUCAAACUUAUCAGAGACCUAAGGUUGCAGAGCAACCAAUUAACCAGCAUUCCAAAGAAGGACAGGAGCCUCCAGGAAGUGACGGGAUGCAGGCACUCACUCAGUUGUGUAGCAAGAGAAAGACAAGCUCUCCUUACAAGUAGGUUAGAAGAGUUCAGCUAAUGUUUAUGUUUUUAUUUUUCAGAGACAAGGUCUCACACUGUCCAGAGGCUGAAGCACAGUAGUGCAGUCAUGACUCACUAAGCUCAAGGUAUCCUCCCACUUCAGUCUCCCAAGUAUCUAGGACUACAAAUGCACAUCACCACACAUGGCUAAUUUUAUUUUAUUAUUAUUAUUAUUUUUUGUUAGAGAUAGGGUCUUGCUAUGUUGUCUAAGCUGGUCUCAAACUCCUGGCCUCAAGUGAUCCUCCUGCUCCAGCCUCUCAAAGUGCUGGGAUUAUGGGUGUAAGCCAACAUGCCAGGCCAAAAUUUUUAUGGAAUUACUAAAGACCCAAUAUAGCUAGCAUGACUACAUAAAAUUUGUAGGAGAUAUAGACACUGAAGUAAUCAUAGAAACAACAAAACUCAAACCUAAUUCAACUCCUGAAAAAACUGACUGAAUCCCCCACACUAAUGGCCUAAGAGAAGAAGAGAUACGACAAUUUCCAGGCAUAAAUAAUAAUGAACUCAGUCCUUACUAUUAUAAGCACUGUGUCCAAAAUUCAAUAAAAAAUUACAACACAGGCUGGGUGCAGUGGCUCACGCCUCUAAUCUCAACACUUUGGGAGGCCAAGGUGGAUGGAUCACCUGAUGUCAGGAGUUCAAGACCAGCCUGGCCAACACAGUGAAAUCCCAUCUUUACUGAAAAUACAAAAAUUAGCUGGGCAUGGUGGUGGGUGCCUGCAAUCCCAGCUAUUUGGGAGGCUCAGGCAGGAGAAUCGCUUGAACCUGGGAAGCAGAGGUUGCAGUGAGCCAAGAUCGCACCAUUGCACUCCAGUCUGGUUGGCAAAAGUGAAACUCUAUCUCAAAAACAAACAAACAAAAAUUACAACGCACACACACACACACAACUUUUAAAAUACCAAAAAAACCUACUGUCAAGAGACAAAGCAGUCCAGGUGUGGUGGCUUAUACCUAUAAUCCAGCACUUUGGAAUGCCAAGGCAGAUGGAAUGCUUGAGGCCAGGAGUCUGAAGACCAGUCUGGGCAAUAUCGUAAGGCCCUGUUUCUAUAUUAAAGAGAGAAAGAGAGAAAGAGAAAGAGAGAGAGAGAGAAAGCAAGACCAGGUGCAAGAUGCAGAUGCUGUAAUUAUCUGACACAGAACUUAAGACAACUAUAAGUAAUACGUGAAUAUGAAAGGCUCUUGUGGAAAAUGUAGACAAUAUGAAAGAACAAAAGGGGAAUUUUUGCAGAAAUAUGAAGACUACAAAAAAAGAGACAUAGAGAAAUGCUAGAAAUAAGAAAAAACACAUACAUAUAACAGAUUUGAAGAAUGCUGUUGACAGGCUUAUCAGUAUACUAGUCCUUUCUCACGCUACUACAAAGACACACCUGAGACUGGGUAAUUUAUAAAUGAGAGAUGUUUAAUUAACUCACAGUUCCACAGGGCUGGGGAGGCCUUAGGAAACUUACAAUCAUGGCAGAAGGGGAAGCAAACACGUCCUUCUUCGCAUGGCAGCAGCAAGAAGUGCCCAGCGAAGGGGGAAGCCCCUUAUAAAACCAUCAGAUCUCAUGAGAAGUAACUCACUAUCACAAGAAAAGGAUGGGGGAAACCACCCCCAUGAUUCAACUGUCUUCACCUGGUCCUUUCCAUGACAUGUGGGGAUUAUGGGAACCACAAUUCAAGAUGAGAUUUGGGUGGGGACACAGUCAAACCAUAUAAUUUUGCCCCAGCCCCUCCCAAAUCUCAUGUCCUCACAAUUCAAAACACAAUUAUGUGCUUCCAACAGUCCUCCAAAGUCUUAACUCAUUCCAGUAUUAACCCAAAAGUCCAAGUCCAAAGACUCUUCUGAGACAAGGCAAGUCCCUUCCACCUAAGAGCCUGUAAAAUCAAAAGCAAGUUAAUUACUUCCUAGAUAUAAUGGGGUUAUAGGCAUUGGGUAAAUACCCUCAUUCUAAAUAGGAGAAAUUGAAGGGGUAAAUUGGCCCAAACAAAGGGGCUACAGGCCCCAUGCAAGUCUGAAAUCCAAUAGGACAGUCAUUAAACCUGAAAGCUCCAAAAUAAUAUCCUUUGAUUCCAGGUCUCAUAUCCAGGUCACACUGAUGCAAGAGGUGGGCUCCCACAGCCCUGGGCAGCUCCACCCCUGUGGCUUUGCAGGGUAGAGACCCCCUCCCUGCUGCUUUCAUGGCUGCCAUUGAGUGUCUGCAACUUUUCCAGACACUCAGUGCAAGUUGUUGGUGGAUCUACCAUUCGGGGGUCUGGAGGACAGUGGCCCUCUUCUCACAGCUCCAUAAGCAAUGCCCCAGUGGGGACUCUGUGUGUAGGAUCUGACCCCACAUUUCCCUUCCGCACUGCCCUAGCAGAGGUUCUCCAUGAGGGCUCCGCCCCUGCAGCAGACUUCUGCCUGGACAUCCACGCAUUUCCAUACAACCUCUGAAAUCUAGGCGGAGGUUCCCAAACCUCAAUUCUUGCAUUCUGCACACCUGCUGGCCCAAUACCUCAUGGAAGCUGCCAAGGCUUGGGGCUUGCACCCUCUGAAGCAAUAGCCCGAGCUGUCCUUGGCCCCUUUUUGCCAUGGCUUGAGUGGCUGGGAUGCAGGGCACCAAGUCCUGAGGCAGCAUACAGCAAGGGAGCACUGGACCUGGCCCAGGAAAUCAUUUUUCCCUCCUAGGCCUCUGGGCCUAUGAUGGGAGGGGCUGCUGUGUAGGUCUCUGAUAUGCCCUGGAGACAUUUUCCCCAUUGUCUUGGUGAUUAAUAUUUGUCUCCUUGUUACUUAUGCAAAUUUCUGUAAGGGGCUUGAAUUUCUCCCAGAAAAAAAUGGGUUUUUCUUUUCUAUCACAUCAUCAGGCUGCAAAUUUUCCAAAAGUUUAUUCUCUGCUUCCUCUUGAAUGCUAUGCCACUUAGAAAUUUCUCCUGCCAGAUACCCUAAAUCAUCUCUCUCAAGUUCAAAGUUCUACAGAUCUCUAGGGCAGGGGUAAAAUGCCACCAGUCUCUUUGCAUUGCAAAAGUGAAGUUUACUCCAGUUCCCAGCUAGUUCCUCAUUUCCAUCUGAGACCACCUCAUCCUAGAUUUCAUUGUUCAUAUCACUAUUAGCAUUUUGGUCAAAGCCAUUCAACAGUCUCUAGGAAGUUCCAAACCUUCUCACAUUUUCCUGUCUUCUGAGCCCUCUAAGACUUUAGGAAGUUCCACAUUUUCCCACAUUUUCCUUCUUCUUCUGAGCCCUCCAAACUGUUCUAACCUCUAUCUGCUACCCAGUUCCAAAGCUGCUUCCACAUUAUCAGGUAUCUUUAUAGCUGCACCUCAUUCUACCAAUACCAGUUUACUGUAUUAGUCUGUUCUCACACUGCUAUAAGCACAUACCUGAGACUGGGUAGUUUACAAAGAAAAGAGGUUUAAUUGACUCACUGUUCCAAAGGGCUGAGGAGGCCUCAGGAAACUUACAAUCAUGGUGGAAGGGGAAGCAAACACGUCCUUCUUCAUGUGGCAGCAGCAAGGAGAAGUGCCUGGGGAAGGAGGAAGCCCCUUAUAAAACCAUCAGAUCUUGUGAGAACUAACUCACUAUCAUGAGAACAGGAUGGGGGAACCACCCUCAUGAUUCAAUUAUCUCCACCUGGUCUCUCCCAUGACACGUGGGGAUUAUGGGAACCACAAUUCAAGAUGAGAUUUGGGUGGUGACACAACCAAACUAUAUCAAUCAGUAAACUCGACAUAGCUGAGGAAAUAACCAGUGAACUUGAAGAUAGGUCAAUAGAGAAUACUCAAAUUGAAACAGAAAAAGAAAAGAGUGAAACAAACAAACAAAAACCAGAACAAAUAUCCAAGCGCUAACAUAUAAGUGAUUCAUAUCCCAGAAGGAGAAGAAACAGAGAAAAAAAAAUAUAUAUAUGUAGAUACAAUAUUUAUUUGUAGAUAUAAUAGCUAAUAAUUUUCCAAAAAUAAUGAAAGAUAUCAAACCACAGAGCCAAGAAACUCACAGAAUCCAGAAAAGAUUAAAUGCCAAUAUACAAACACAACAAAGAAGCACAUGCAAACACAACCUAAUAUAUCAUAUUCAAAUUGCUGAAAACCAAAGAUAAAGAGAAAAUAUUGAAGGCAUCUAGAGGAAAAAGGCACACUCCCUACAGAGGAACAAAGAAUUACAGAAGACUUCUCAUCAGAAAUUAUAUAACCAGAAGAUAAUAGAGUCAUAUCUUUAAAAUGCUGAAAGACAAAAAACUGCCAAUCCAGAAUUCUAUACCUAGCAAAUACAUCUUUCAAACAUGAAGGAAAUACACUUUUUCAGAUCAAAAAAAAAAAAAGAGAGAGAGAAAAUUCAUUACCAGUGGACGUUCUGUAAGCAGAAGAAAUAUGAUACCUGAGAGAAACUUGGAUCUACAUAAAGAAAUGAUGAUCUCUGGAAACAGAUAGAAUAAAGGUAAAUAUAAGAGACAUUGUUUCUCAUUUUUACUCACUUUAAAAGGUAACUGCUUUACUAAAGCAAUGCAUUGUGGCCUCAUAGCAUAUAUAAAAGUGAAAUGUAUGACAAUAACAACAGUAAAAAUGAGGAGAUGGAGGAAUGGGAAAUAUGCUGUUAAAGGGUCCUUAUGAUAUAUAAGAAGUGGUAUAACAUUAUUUGAAGAUAGACUGAUUAAAGAUAUAGUAAAUUCAAUAGCAACCACUAAAAAAAUUUUUUUAGAGAGGUGUAAGUAACAAGCCAAUAAUAGAAAAUGGAAUCAUAAAAAUGCUGGAAUAGGUAACUAUGUGAGAUGAUGGAUAUGUUCGUUUGCUUCACUAUAGUAAUCACUUUACUAUAUCUAUGUAUUCCAUAACAUCAUGUUGUAUACCUUAAACAUAUACAAUAAAAUUUAUUUUUUAAAAUGA
rnacentral:lncRNA from 1 species